AUGUCUAGCAGCUCGGCCUCGCCGGCUAACUACGAUGAGCACCCAGUGGAGACGUCGUCGUCGUCGAGAUCCCUGGCGAACACCGUCACCGUGGCGCACAACUUCGAGAUCACUAGUUACUCGCUGCUCGACGGCUUUCAUCCCGGCGACUACAUUUGCUCGAGAAGGUUCACCGCCGGUGGUUACGACUGGUGUAUCAGGUUCUACCCUAACGGACAUACAGAGGAGGAUGCUUUCUACACCUCGGCCUUCUUGUGUCUAUGUCGAGGAGAACCAUGGCCGGGCGUAAGAGCCAAGUACACUUUGAGUUUAUUGGAUAGGGACCGGAAUGCAACCAUACGAAGAAGCGCCUUAAGACAUAUCUUUGCGUCGACGGGUUGUUAUUAUGGCUAUAGUAGGUUCUUCUCUAAGAAGCAUAUCGUCGAUGACUGCUUCACAAUCAGGUGCGUCUUGACCGUCAUCACGCAACACACGGAGGACCGAAGCUUCGUCGUCAUCCCCCGGUCGGACCUCCGCGACCACCUGGUAGACAUGCUGGAGGGCGGGGAAGGCACGGAGGUGACAUGGGCGGCCAAUUGUUCCACGCUCAUAGAUGCAUGUUGGCUGCACGAUCACUAG
rnacentral:rRNA from 1 species